CAAGUGUGCAAGCUGUUGCACAACACAACAGCUAGAGCAUGAAUUUAAGCAUCUGUAUGGAGAUCUUGAAUGCAUCGAGAAACAUUCUUUUCCCACAGAUUCUCACCCAAAAUAUUCAUUUGGAAAACAUAAUGAAAAUCAAUCCAGCAGCGCAGCUGCAAACUUUGUACGUGUCUUACCGUACUAUUUUCUCACAACUUUUCUUUUAUCUCUAGUAGCUUUAAUUUGGCCUCAAGGUCUCCAGCUAUCAGCUUCUCAGAAAGCUCUCCUAUAAGGUUUUGUUGGUUCCAAUCCAAGUCUCUUCUUCUUGGUCUUUGAUGGCACUCCUGACGACAGUCAUUGGAGUUGCUGGUGCCUCCUCUUGGACAUGCCCAUUUCUAUUUUCAGGGUUCUUUCUCAAGGCUGUGAAGCUGCUGUUCUGUAUAGACAGGGCCUUGACGUUCACUAAUGGCCGGAAGCCGUGGCUGCCAUAAAACGACAUUUCUCGACUUCCCUUUCCCUCCCUGCUGCUGGAACUCAACAUUAGAUUUCUUCUUGGAGUUUUCGGUAAUGGCAAUGCCUUCAUCCUUGCUGGUUUUAAUGACGUCAACGCCUGCAAAUCUUACAUGUUUCUUUGUUCCAUUUUUGUUCCUGCUUUUACAAGUAAAUGAGCCACUUAUCCCACUUGAAUCACUAACUUCAAAUUGUUUGCUUGAUGAACCAUACUUGGAGACAUCAAUGGAGGAUUGUGAUACUGAAACUUCUCCACUGGGUUUUCUGAUCCUUCGACGAAGCUUUCUUACAGUAUGACGAGGGACGACAUAGAAUUUUUGACCAGGAGUGAGGAUCUCAUGUGACCGGACCAAUGAAUCCCAUGGUCUCCUAAAAACUUCUGGUCUAGCUAGUACGAAAGAUGGGUAGUUCUUCAUUAUAUUAACUGCAGGGAUUGCCAUGUAAUAGCACUCGACAACCCCACCAGGAUGAACAAUCUUUAGAGCUGAGGUCCCCUGAUUCUCCCUUGGCUCUUGCUGAAGUUGAGCCACUGGUUUAGGCCGACCAUGGCUAUAGAAAGGGGCAAGUUUUCGAACAUUCAGGAACUUGUUAAGCAUUCCAGCAGCCUGUUUUACAAAUAAUGCGAAGUUAUGACAAAUAUGGCUUUGUAUAGAAUCACUUACAAACUGGUUUUUAAUCUUUGAAACAGCGAUGAUUACAAGAAAAAUAUGACUUUUCCAGAUUUUUUACACGUCCAUCUUAAUUUUGUCGAGUUGCAAGUCAAAUGGGGGAUUUUCAACAGCGGAAGAAGAUAACAACUAUGUCACCAUGGAGAGUCCGAGGCCGGCCAUUUGGCUUGUUUAGCUUGGGUUUAGACAUUUAAAUAUGCUAGAGAUUAAUGUUCUGCCAGCUUUAUUCUCAAAAUAUCAAAUCUACAAUGUAAUAGCACCAUCCAAUACCAGAAGAAAACUGUAAUAUGUGGAUAUUCAGUUAUGGUUUCAUGCAUCUACAGGGAUUCAAUUUUUUCUAAA